rfam:Pongo abelii chromosome 6.
CUGUUGCAGAGCCUUCUCCUGUUCUGGACCCUAGGCAGUUUUAUUUGGUAAAGUGAAUGAUUAAAGGUCUUGGGGCCAAAAUGAUCUCAACCUAUUCUUAAACUUUAAAUGGGUUAGAAGCCUGGCUCGCUGGCAUAGAGCCGGGCGUGGAAUAUGAGUCCAUAGUGGGCCACUUUUGGUAAGCAGAACUGGCACUGUGGGAGGAACUGAACGCCGGGUUAAGGCACCCAAUGUUGAUGCUCAUUAGACACCCCACUCUUGGUACCAAAAUCUGUAUUAGGGUUCUCUAGAGGGACAGAACUAAUAGGAGAUAG